AUUUAUAUAGCUUAUGUUAGAGUUUAAUAUUGAAGAUAUUAAGGAAGAUUAUUAUCUUGUAGAUA
rnacentral:tRNA from 1 species